GUCGCGGACUGUCUGGCCCCUGGCCGCGGACCGUACACGCCUGUGUAGAGAGCAGCACCGCCGCCGGUUCUCAUCGCAGUGAUUGGUGCCCAGUUUGGCGCCAACACCUGGGCCUUGUACACACCGCCCGUCACACUAUAAGAGCUGGCUAGGUUUGAAGUCAUUACCCUUAACCGUAAGGAGGUGGAUGCCUAAGGCUAGGCUUGCGACUGGAGUGAAGUUGUAACAAGGUAGUCGUACUGGAAGGUGCGGCUGCAUCACCUCCUUU
rnacentral:ncRNA from 1 species